ACACCUCCCACCCGAUCUCCCAGGAAGUGGAGCAGGCGACGGACAUCGAUAGAGUCUUUGACUGGAUCGCCUACAAAAAAGGGGCAGCACUGAUCCGGAUGUUGGCUAACGUGAUGGGACAGACGCUGUUCCAGAAAGGACUCAAUGAUUAUCUGCUGAGUCACAUGUACAGCAAUGCUGCUCGAGACGACCUGUGGAGCAAACUGUCUCAGG